UUGUUGCCAGCGAUUAGGUCGGGAACUCAAAGGAGACUGCCAGUGAUAAACUGGAGGAAGGUGGGGAUGACGUCAAGUCAUCAUGGCCCUUACGACCAGGGCUACACACGUGCUACAAUGGCGCAUACAAAGAGAAGCGACCUCGCGAGAGCAAGCGGACCUCAUAAAGUGCGUCGUAGUCCGGAUUGGAGUCUGCAACUCGACUCCAUGAAGUCGGAAUCGCUAGUAAUCGUGGAUCAGAAUGCCACGGUGAAUACGUUCCCGGGCCUUGUACACACCGCCCGUCACACCAUGGGAGUGGGUUGCAAAAGAAGUAGGUAGCUUAACCUUCGGGAGGGCGCUUACCACUUUGUGAUUCAUGACUGGGGUGAAGUCGUAACAAGGUAACCGUAGGGGAACCUGC
rnacentral:rRNA from 6 species